AUACUAACCGUUGUAUUAGAUAUACUAAUCUGUUGUAUUAGAUGAGCUAAUACAACGGAUUAUUCUUCUAACACAUCGGAUAGUGUUCCCGAUUUUUGUUUUUUUUUUUUUUUCUAUUUUUCAAUUGGAGCUAAUCCAACGGAUCAGCCCUAAAAAAUAAAUAAAGAAAAAAAGAUUAAGACCUAAUACAACGGAUGAGUAAAAAAAAAAAAAAAAAAAAAACCGGGAAAUGCUGAAAUAUUAGAGCCAAAAAUGAAAUUGAAACCCCAUUUCCCAAACUUCUCAGCUCAGUCUUCCUUCGUUCUCCUCCCUCAACUCGCCGCUGCUCCUUCCUUCAUUCUCCUCCCUCGCCGCCGCUGCGUCGUCUCCUACCUCGCCGUUUUGUUCUACUGUGCUCGAUCUCUAUCUAAGCCGUUUCAGAUUCUGAGGUGGUGGUGCUGCUAGUGCUUGGGGGAUCCUUUGGGGCUAAUUCUAUGAACAUUGCUCUAUUUAAUAUAUACUUUCAAAUAUUGGAGCAGCGGCCGAAUUUGCAUAUUAUUUGGGAGACUGGUGUGGAGUCAUUUGAUGAGACGGAGAGUCUUGUUCGAAACUAUCCCCGAUUAGUUUUAGCACCAUCUACCACAAAUUGAGGAAACAAAAUUGAUGAUUAUUUCAAUAAUCUAUCUUAAUUUUUUCGACGGCCUAAUUCAGAAUUUAGGGGAUUUCAUGACAAGAGUUAGCUCUCUAGAUAUCACAUGGAUGGUCCCAUCUAAUAUCAGCUUAGGAUUAACAAGUUGUCCACUGAGGACUGGGAGCAUAAAUCUGUGCUUGAUGACGAUGAGCUACCCCGGGAUGAAUGAAGUACGGACUAAUGUUGAUUUUAUGUAUCUAUUGCAAGUACUAAUUUUAUUUCAAACGAUUGUUAAUUAAUUAGUGAACUUUCAUUUAUUAUUAGUUAGUAUCGGCACUUCGUUUAUUUUGUAAUGCAACGAAUAUAUUAUAAGCACUUUGUUUAUUUUUAAUUACUAAUAUAAUUU